AUUGGGGAAUGGCUUAAGGAGAAAGGGCAUGGUGGGGAUACCGACCCUUUGUAUUAAGAGAAAUGUUUUAGUCAGGAUGGGUAGGCCCGGGUAGGCCUCAGUUAGCAUGAGAAUGACUAGGCAAAUGGAAAAGUACUGACCGAAAGUAACAGUAAGAUAAAAAUGCUGACUGCAGGUUACUGAAAGUCACAGAACAGCCUGUUGUAAGCAAUAAAAGUGCUGACUGCAGUUCCUGUUAUAAGCAACUUUGUAGAAAUAUGUUUGAGAAGAUAAGGAACUAACAUACCAGAGAAACCACAAGUAGGCUGAGCUAAUUUGAUAUGCACUCCAAUCAUAUAAUGACUAGUAGGCAUAAUUAAUGAUAACAGUAUAUAAGCGAGCUGUAUCCGAUCAAUAAAUGAAGUAUGCUUAUCACUCAUAUUGAGUUGGCUGCAUUUCUUCCUCCGCACGCGGGUCCUGAACUCUGAAGCGUUUCCCAACAUCUGGCGCCCGAACAGGGACUCGUGCUGCGGAUUAGGUCGAGGAACGGCACCGGUUUGGCAGCGGCCGGUGGGCAAGAGCAACCGAACAUUGUACUGCGAUGUGUUGACUCCGACGCCUGGGCGAUUGAAGUUUUAAGCUCGCCGUAUACGGGCACACUGGAAGGCUGCAAAGAAGUCUUUUGAGCUCAAGAAGAGGUAUUUAUUUAUAUUAUGAGUACAGAGGUUAUGGAUUUCGAGGUGGCCCUAGAUAUUUUACAAAGCUUUUUAGAAAAGCGAGGGGUUAAUUAUAGUUGCGUUAAACAGCUAGCUGGUCUAGUAGCAACGGGGAAAAACUAAGGGGUGUUUUCAGGAUCCUGAUUUAUUGUUUGAUGAAGGAGAGUGGAGGAAAUUAGGGGACGUGUUGUGGGAUAUGGUCAUAGACGAGGAUAAAACAGCUAAGAAACUGAGGAAACCGUGGAGGGAAGUAAUUAAUAGUAUUAAGCGUCAUAAAGUGAAAAAGAAUUUAGCCGCGGUAGCUUCACAGAAACUCGGCAAAAUGGAGCCUUCCGCUCCGCCGAUGGAAACGGGCAUAUCUGCGUUAUCAGCGAAGAACCUUAAAAGACUAUUAACUUGGUGCAGAGGCAAUAGGUAUCCUGCUGACCUGUCAGGAGUUUUUCAAAUAGAGACUUGGAAAAAGAUGGGAACUGUGUUGUGGAAGGCAAUUAGUCACCGCGAAAGAUAUAUUCUCGGCCUUGUAACCAUCUGGAAACUGAUAAAUACUACAAUGAAGCAAUUAAAACCUGAAAAGACUGUUACGAGCAUUAGUGACUCAAAACUUGAACUUUGGGACAGUGUAGAGCAGAAAUUAUGGGAUAAAGUCAGCAAUGGACAUACAGAAGCUAAAUCAUUAGUAACUACAUGGAAGCUUGAACGGUCUGCUGCUGCCGGAAUUUUUGCAGCAUUGCAGCCUGAUAAGUAUCCUGAAAGUUGCGGUGAAAUUCACCCGGUUUGUGUCUGCGAUACCCUCCCUAUGCAAUCCCCUGCUGUGCUUUCGGCACCCCCGAUGGUUCAGCAGCUUGCUGCGGGGGGAGGAACAAUGCCAAACGGUUAGCCUCCUGUACCAUCAUCUAACCCUGGUGAGAACAGCAAGUUCAGAGGAUUGGUGUCAGACAACUUACUCAAAGAACCUGUGAAAGCUGAGAAUGCUAAAGUAGUAAACAAGUGUACUAUCAGUUCCUUUUACCAAUUUUGCCAAUCUGCUUUUCCUGCAUUUUAACCCUCUAACUUCCACGAGAGAACAGAAGAAGUCACUGAAAAUAGAACUGGACAACAGAACUGUGUGACAGAUUAGAUCAGUUAACAGCAAGUGAAUCUGACAGUCGGCAAUGUGGCCAUGAUAAUCGUGACGGGAAAGGGGGUGCUUCUGGGGACUCGGGGUAUAAAACUUAGAAGUUAAGGAAGCACUGGUUUUGGAAUUGGCAGUAGAGAAUGCUAAAGUUUGCUAUCAACAUGUUAUUUGUGAGUUUUACAGUGCAUAUUAUGUGCUGCUGUUUAUUGCCUCUCUGAAAGUCAAGCAGCUUGUCAGGAAUGUGAGUUAAUUGUUUUACUGGUUGUUGUUAGAACUGUUUCUUUGUGGUAUAAGUGCACCGUAAAACUUUGUCUCCACUUUUCCCACUCACGCUGCAAGCAGCCCUGUGCUUUUCCGUGGGGUCAGAAAUUACUGUUUUCAGUCGUGUUCAUAAAAAAUCGGUAUUAGGAGGUGUUUCAAAACAUAGGGAAGCACUUGGAAAUAUGAGGAAAGAAAAUCUUGUAAAAUAUUGUAAUUAAUGGUGGCUGCUGUAUAAGUUAAAUGAUUGGGAAAAGUGUCUGGGGAAUAGAAUCUUGAAGUAUAACACCUUAUUGCAAUUAAUGUUGUUUUUAGGGUGAGAAGAGUAAGACAAAAUAAAUCCCUACAAGAGAUCAUUAAAUCAUUUCAGACAGCUGAGAGAGAGUUAACUGAUAACACGCAGGUCACAGUAAACUUGCUGAAGUCUGCACAAUGUUUUCCUUAUUAGCCUGUUUUCUUUGUGGGUAUCUGUUUAAGCAUGUUGCAAUUUUGGUAGGUCUUUGUUAUAUGGUACAGUAAGUUCACAGACUGUUAAAUCAUGAGAAUCGGUUGACUCAAAAGGUGCGUUUUGUGAUAGUAUAAAAGAUCAUGAGUAAUUUAGCUCCCUACUGCAUGAACAUGAUGUUAAGAUUUUAUGUGUAGUAGCUGUUAUAUUUUUUUUUUUUCUAGUGUGCUAGCUUUAUUCCAAUAUCCAGACUUGCGCAACUCUGUGACAAGCUGUCUCUCAUCUCGGUGCACUAAAUUUGGCCUUUUUGUAUGCACAUCAAGUGAAGAAUCAUGGUUUUAGAAUAACAGUUGUAGCGCACCAAAUGAGACACUAAUAAAAGGCCUUGCCCAGUCCAGCUUGCUGCGGGGGGGGGCGGAUGCCAAAUGGGGCUCCAGCGCGCACUGACCCAUUUUGUCAGGGAGACCCAGAGGUAUCUCCACCUGGCUGAGCAGUAAGCGGUUCAAGGUGCAAUGCAAAAAAUUGAGAUAUUAUCUUAAAUUGGUGUAAGUGUGAUUCAUCUGCUUAUUUGAACUUGGUAUAUGGUUUUCGUAUCUGAGCUCAGUAUUUUAGUUUGUAUAUUCAUAUUUGGUACCAAAAGAAUCUUGUUUGGGGAGAUAAUUACAAUGGGAACCGGUUCCACUGCUAAAAUUCCACCUUGCUCCCCCUUAGGAUGCAUCCUUACACAUUAAAGUAAUCGCUUAUAUUGCUAGAAAAGCAUUUAAAUUGUUAAAAUACUAUGAUAGAUGUGAACUUGGGGUAUUGUAUGAAGUUAUGAAGUUGUAUUUAAAGGUUGCUGGAAUGUGAACCGAUUUGGAUCUAGGACAAUAGAAUAAUGGAUUUAUGUUUAUUAUACUGGUGUACACUGGUUUUUUUGACAUCUCUAAAUUGUAAAAGGUAAAUGGAGCUAAGGAAUGUGACUAUUGCUGAGCUACUUGAAAUUGCAUAUAAAGUGUAUUAUGGCUGAAAUGAAAUGGGAAAACAAAAGAGCAAAAUAUCCCAGGCCUGUGUGCAGCUCAUUGUAACUGAGAAGUUUCCCAGAGCCUCCUACUUCGUACCAGCCAGUAUGCCAGCUGCGUGACCUUGGUUAUAUCUACACUGCACAGAAAGAAAAAACAACUGGAAAAACGUGGCUGCCCGCUUUUAAAGCGGUGAAAGGGGGGUUCUCUCUCCCCCCACUGCAGCGAUGUAAUACUGAAUGGAGCCGUCCGAGGGUGAAGUUUAAAGGCAUCCUGAGCAGACCCGUAGUUUUAAUUAAACUGGACAAUUAAACCAAAAAUUUGUUGAUGGACUUAUCCUAUGGUAAUUAAUUGUACGAGACUUCUUAGUAAAUUCACCAUGCUAGUUUUUGAGGACAUGGGAGACAACGAAAGAAAGGCCGUUUUUUGAGACAAACGGAAUGCCAAAUAUGGAACAAAGUUACCUCUCUUGGGUCAGGAUUUGUUAAGUAAAUUGUAAGCUCAAAUAACGUUUUCUGAGAAUUCUGUUUAGUUGCAUAUCCUACAGGAAGGCGCUUGGAUGUUGCAGAUCUGCUUGUGCAAGUGAGAAAUCUUCAAGGAACUUAGCAGCCAAUGUUUUUGAUAAAGCAGAUACUACCCUGAGAAAUCUGAAACAGGACUUCAAUCCGAUCAGGAGCUGCAAUGGUUGCCAGCACGAAACGUGAAACCUGUGUUAUCUUCCUGACAAUGAUUGUUGCAGCUGCUGUGUUUUGGAUGCAUGCACAGACAAAGACUAACAUAUGGAUUACUUUAGCCAACAUGACUGACCACCUAUAUGCCUAACUACGAUGUCUCUGGAAAAAACGUUCUACACAUGCUUGGUUGGUGUCUUCCUUGAUGACUACAGCAGCAUCACACGACUGUUUCAAAUAGUGGUUGAUGCAGAGGCAUUGCAACGAACUGUAAUAAUACUAACACGGCACUUUGGAUUAAUUGCCACCUGGAAGCAGACAUCGAACCACAGGAACUGGAAUUGCUGGCAUCUAUGCCCAUGGAUGCUUGUAUUCAGCCGGUUUGUGAAAAGUGUCAGAACAGUAUACAAGAACAUGAAUGGACAAACUACAAAAUGUUAAUGCUACCCUUGGUGACUACAGAAAUGAAACUCGACGGUGUAAUGCUUCACAGAAGAAUGCAAGGGAUAUCAUUGACAGCGACCCUAAAACCUCCUGUAUGGUGUAUUCUUGAUCUGUGAAGAUAGAGCCUGACCAGGAAUUCCUUCUAACGCUGUUGGAGGACUGUGUAUUUUGGGACUAUUAACUCUCUUAACGUCCAAUGUAUCUAUGAUAAUAGAUCACAAAAGAGCAAGACGAGAAAAAUACUUUUAUGGAUUUACAAAGAUGUGGGCUUCUUUGGACUAGAGGGGCUGUCAAACUGGUUUGGGUUAGGAGGAUGGUUGAAAGGGCUUUUGCAAAGUAUACUUAUGUUACUUAUUAUAAUAAUUGUAGUAGCAAUGUGCAUAAGCUGUGCCUUUUCAUGUCUUCGAAAGCUUUUUGAACGCACCAUGAAUCAAGCAAUGCUCGCGCAAAAAGAAAAAGGGGGAAUUAUUGGGGAAUGGCUUAAGGAGAAAGGGCAUGGUGGGGAUACCGACCCUUUGUAUUAAGAGAAAUGUUUUAGUCAGGAUGGGUAGGCCCGGGUAGGCCUCAGUUAGCAUGAGAAUGACUAGGCAAAUGGAAAAGUACUGACCGAAAGUAACAGUAAGAUAAAAAUGCUGACUGCAGGUUACUGAAAGUCACAGAACAGCCUGUUGUAAGCAAUAAAAGUGCUGACUGCAGUUCCUGUUAUAAGCAACUUUGUAGAAAUAUGUUUGAGAAGAUAAGGAACUAACAUACCAGAGAAACCACAAGUAGGCUGAGCUAAUUUGAUAUGCACUCCAAUCAUAUAAUGACUAGUAGGCAUAAUUAAUGAUAACAGUAUAUAAGCGAGCUGUAUCCGAUCAAUAAAUGAAGUAUGCUUAUCACUCA